AAUAGCAGUGGGAGAUUGUAUACCAACUUUAGUGACACUGAUAUUAGUAAGUUCUGAUAACCCACUACCAUCGGACCAGCCUGGAGCACAUUACUUUGGCCAGUGGAAAGUCUCUUGGAGAGACUUUGAGGACUCCAAGCCCCCUGAUCCUUGAUCAGAACUACAUUAACACCAAAAAUCAAGUUAUCAAAGCAGAGAGGAGGGUGCUAAAGGAGUUGGGAUUUUGUGUUCAUGUCAAGCAUCCUCAUAAGAUCAUUGUUAUGUAUUUACAAGUCUUAGAAUGUGAACGUAAUCAAACCCUGGUUCAAACUGCCUGGAAUUACAUGAAUGACAGUCUUCGAACCAAUGUGUUUGUUCGAUUUCAACCAGAGACUAUAGCAUGUGCUUGCAUCUACCUUGCAGCUAGAGCACUUCAGAUUCCGUUGCCAACUCGUCCCCAUUGGUUUCUUCUUUUUGGU
rnacentral:sRNA from 1 species